AGGCGACAUAGCCUGCAUAAAUGCCAACUUUUAGCGCACGGCUCCCACAAGGAGCCAUUUCCCUGGACCGAAGAUAGGAAUCGUCUUCGGUCUUUUUUU
rnacentral:sRNA from 1 species